UACGAAGGGGGCUAGCGUUACUCGGAUUGACUGGGCGUAAAGGGCGCGUAGGCGGUUUGUACAGUCAGACGUGAAAUUCCUGGGCUCAACCUGGGGGCUGCGUUUGAUACGUGCAGACUUGAGUUCGGAAGAGGGUCGUGGAAUUCCCAGUGUAGAGGUGAAAUUCGUAGAUAUUGGGAAGAACACCGGUGGCGAAGGCGGCGACCUGGUCCGAUACUGACGCUGAGGCGCGAAAGUGUGGGGAGCAAACAGG
rnacentral:rRNA from 1 species